UCGAUUAACAACUAUGUCGAAAUAGGAAAAGAAUUCACCAAACUUUACCAACUUUUAUGAAUGUUCCCAGUCGCCUAAUAAACGGGCUACCUAACAGUACUGUCUUAAAGCAUCGUGCUAACUAAAACCGGGCAGGAUGCGUGAGGAGAAGCAGUGCAUAGAAAUAAUAGCUGGGCAAAAGAUAAGAUUCCAGUGGAUCUGACAUGCUCUUUAUGUCUGAAGCUGUAUUUGGAGCCACACCUGUGUCACCCUUGCCAGCAUGUAUUCUGUAAGCAGUGCCUGGGGAAUGUAUGCAGCCACAAAUCUGUCCACACCCAUUGUCCGCUUUGAAGGAUGGUCAGAUUGACACGUGCACACCCAUCGCUGCUAUCAUGGAGAAAAAACAUCUGGAGUAAGAGGAGAGUUACAUAAAAAGACAGAAUGAUGUGAACAUGAUGAGGAAGAUGAGCACCAACCUACCUCCUAGUAACCAUGGUUACAGCUGGUUUGCAUCAGUCCCCAGAUGGUUCAGUGGCUCCAGCAUUGAACAGUUUACUAGAUGGGUUGGCACUACAUGUAACUCUUGGUCCCAGUGGCUCAAGAGACUGUUUUGUGGGGAUCCGGGGAAUGAAUACUAUGAUUAUGACGAGUAUGAUUUAGGGGACAUUCCAAUAGAGGAGUUUCUCACUUGCUCUUUAAUUUGGCCAAUUGGAAAGCGCCUUUUCUUGAUCCUAAUGUUGUUUUUUACACACAACCUUGUUUGUUUUAUCUGUUAUGUGAUUGGAUUUAAUUGUAACUGUGAACAUACAUUCCUCUUUAAUGUAUUUCUUGGAUACAUGAUGUUGAAGUUAUUUAUUUUUGGAUUAUUAAACACAGUGAGAAUGAUUUUUGGGUUAAAACUUAAUAGAAGUAACAUACUGGGAUGUAUUCUUGUGUGGCCAGCAUUAUUCAUGAUCUUCUACCAUUAUUCCUCAUCAUGGAUACAGUUGGGAUACAAUGUUGUAAUUCUGGGAUCUUUGUUCACCAACAGGCGAAAUCUUCUCUACUGAAAAUUCUAAUAUUCUACUUGCCUUUUUUUGGAGGGGGGGAUAUUUGACCUUGUUUUCAUGCUAUUCUGUGUCGCCAAUCUCCAAAAUUAUUUGACCAAAGCUCUUACAACUACAAAGUUUGUGAUAUUUUUGUAAGGAGCAAGAUUUGGUAAUUUGGAUAUCAGUAGAUAUUUUUUUAUCAAAACCUUAUAUACUUGAUAGUUGUGCUAUUUUGCUUCUUUUUGACCGAACUUAAUAAAAACUGUAUUUUGGGCUUAUAUAUUUUUUGUAGUUUUGUCCCUUGAUUGUUUAGAAGAAUGUUGCAACGUUGACGACAUUGGAUUGAUUGUUAAAAACUUUCUAAAAACUGUUGCAGCUGCAUGUACUUGUUUAAAUAAAAUAUAUGAACACAUCAAAACAUAUUUCACAUAUGAAUGUAAACAACGAUGAAGUUAACAAUGUCAUUAGAUAAACAAAGUUGUGAACAAUCAGCCCAUUGAAGCAUCAAUUGCCUGGAGUCUGUAAAAUUUUAAUUGUUACUAUUUGAAUAACUUUUCAUGUACAUGUAUAAUGGGUGAAAAAUAUGACUUAAAUUUGUUUUUAAAUUGUUUCCUUAUACGUUGGUUACUGUGUAUAAUGUUUGCCUUAAUUGAAUUGUUCAUUAUGGUUUUAAAUUCACAUGAUACAAAUAUAAAGAUGGGUAUGCAUUGUAGAAAUAAUUCUCAUUAUGUUAUAACAUUUUUUUUCUAUUAUAUGAUUAUGUUGCUCUAAAUAGUUUUGUUUAAUUGUGAGUGCAUUUUGUGCCCAUUUUAGUUGUAAGAUUUGAACUUUAUUUCCACAUCAUGAUGGCAUUUGUCUUUGUAUUGUUUUCAAGAUAGAUAUUUUUAGAACUAUCUGGUUAAAUAGAUAAUAGCAUUCAUCAGUUAUGCAUUGAAAUUAAAUGUACACACUUAAUAUAUAUCUUGAUAUGUUUAAUAAAUGUUUAUUCUGUA